GGUUAUAUAGAUUUUUUCCUAGUUAUUACAUGCAAACCGUGCAAAUAGAAUGAUUGUGCUAGACUAUGUUCUUCAAGGAGAAGGCAGAUUGCCUCUUGAGGAAGGAUAAUAGCUUCAGAUGCAUUGUGAGUUAGGGAUGAUGGUGUGGAUAUGAGGGUUGAUGCUGUGUAGGAUGUUUUCAUCACGGGAUCUUGAUCGGUGGUCGGAGC
rnacentral:lncRNA from 1 species